CCUACGGGAGGCAGCAGUGGGGAAUAUUGGGCAAUGGGCGCAAGCCUGACCCAGCAACGCCGCGUGAAGGAAGAAGGCUUUCGGGUUGUAAACUUCUUUUCUCAGGGAAGAGUAGAAGACGGUACCUGACGAAUAAGCCACGGCUAACUACGUGCCAGCCGCCGCGGUAAUACGUAGGUGGCACGCGUUGUCCGGAUUUACUGGGUGUAAAGGGCGUGUAGCCGGGUUGACAAGUCAGAUGUGAAAUCCUGCGGCUUAACCGCAGAACUGCAUUUGAAACUGUUGAUCUUGAGUACUGGAGAGGCAGACGGAAUUCCGAGUGUAGCGGUGAAAUGCGUAGAUAUUAGGAGGAACACCAGUGGCGAAGGCGGUCUGCUGGACAGCAACUGACGGUGAGGCGCGAAAGCGUGGGGAGCAAACAGGAUUAGAUACCCGUGUAGUC
rnacentral:rRNA from 1 species